rnacentral:misc_RNA from 1 species
UCUCCGUUGGUGAACCAGCGGAGGGAUCAUUACAGGAACUCGCAAGACUCCUAACCCACUGUGAACCUACCCGACGUUGCCUCGGCGGGCGCCCGGCCCCGCGCCGGGCGCCAAGCCCGCCGGCGGCCCCCUACUCUGUCUCUGCAGCGGUGUGUCUCCGAGUAUACCAAAACAAGUCAAAACUUUCAACAACGGAUCUCUUGGCUCUA